rnacentral:rRNA from 1 species
UGAGCAAUCUGCCCUUCACAUAGGAAUAACCAUUGGAAACGAUGGCUAAUACCGAAUAUGACUUCGGAUCGCAUGAUCUGAAGUGGAAAGCUCCGGCGGUGAAGGAUGAGCUCGCGGCCUAUCAGCUUGUUGGUGUGGGUAAUGGCCCACAAGGCGACGACGGGUAGCCGGCCUGAGAGGGUGACCGGCCACACUGGGACUGAGACACGGCCCAAACUCUACGGGAG